CGGUAAAACGUAGGUCGCCAGCGUUGUUCGGAAUUUCUGGGUGUAAAGGGAGGGCAGGCGGGAAGACAAGUUGGAAGUUAAAUCCAUUGGCUCAACCCAUGAGUUGCUUUCAAAACUGUCUUUCUUGAGUACUGCAGAGGUAGGCGGAAUUCCUGGUGUAGCGGUGGAAUGCGUAGAUAUUGGGAGGAACACCAGUGGCGAAGGCGGCCUACUGGGCACCAACUGACGCUGAGGCUCGAAAGUGUGGGUAGCAAACAGGAUUAGAUACCCUGGUAGUCCACACCGUAAACAAUGAUUACUAGGUGUGGGAGGAUUGACCCCUUCCGUGCCGGAGUUAACCCAAUAAGUAAUCCCACCUGGGGAGUACGGCCGCAAGGGUUGAAACUCAAAGGAAUUGACGGGGGCCCCGCACCAAGCAGUGGAGUAUGUGGUUUAAUUCGAAGCAACGCGAAGAACCUUACCAAGUCUUGACAUCGUGUGACGGACUUAGAGAUAUGUUUUUCCUUCGGGACGCAAAGACAGGUGGUGCAUGGUUGUCGUCAGCUCGUGUCGUGAGAUGUUGGGUUAAGUCCCGCAACGAGCGCAACCCUUAUCAUCAGUUGCUACGCAAGAGCACUCUGACCAGACUGCCGUUGACAAAACGGAGGAAGGUGGGGAAGACGUCAAAUCAUCAUGCCCCUUAUGACUUGGGCUACACACGUACUACAAUGGCGUUCAACCAAGGGAAGCCAGCCCACGGGGGGGAGCCAGAAUCAGAAACAUCGUCCCAGUUCAGAUUGCAGGCUGCAACUCGCCUGCAUGAAGUCGGAAUUGCUAGUAAUCGCAGAUCAGCAUGCCGCGGUGAAUACGUUCCCGGGCCUUGUACACACCGCCCGUCA
rnacentral:rRNA from 1 species